GCACAUUUAUUGAACCCACUGCAACGUUUCGACCUACACGGCUUCACAAAGACGAUGUAGGUCGAAACUUUGCAGUGGGUUCAAUAAAUUUGC